rnacentral:lncRNA from 1 species
CACCCCACAGAGCUUACAGUCUAGCAAAAGAGAUAGCUUGACUGCCGGGAUGUCAGACACAAGGGAUUUCACUACCUCUAAUAGGGUGGGGCACAUGGUUAUUGCCUGAGCAAUAGGAACAUGAUGAUGUUACAGAUAUUCUCUGUGGAAAGAGAGACACGAGGCAGACGUGAAUAAAGAAAUCAAGCUAGACACUAUAAAGACUUACAUACUUAUUACAAUGUCAUUGUAUAUUUUAUACUUAAAUAAAAUUUUUUGUGGUAAACACUCCAAAGAAACAGU